rnacentral:lncRNA from 1 species
AUCAAUUCUAAUUCCCAAGCUAGGAUAAAGGGAGCUAGGAGAAGGUUUGGAUGCUAUAAUAUUUAGAUCUAAAAUUUCUAAUAGUUAUUUGAUGACGCUGGGUCUCAUUUUUCUUGUAUCCAAAAUGAAAGCAUCAGAUCUAUUUGACAUUGAAUUUUUCUUCUUUCAUUAAAUCUCUCUGUAUGAUCUCACUCUCUGCAUGAAAGAUAACCCUUACAUAGAAGAAAGAUGGCAAGAGAAAACCUUCCUCUCUAACUCUGGGGUCUAUUUCUGCUUAUUAACAUCAAGUUGAAAUAAAAUCUGCAAAGUCAUGUAGCCAGAGCAUGUGCAGAAAAAGAAAUCUUGACCUGAAAUGACCGUGGAACCAAAGAUUCUCCUCUCCAAGGAACCAAAGGACCAGGACAUGACCAGAAUGUAAAAGUCAGACUCUUAUCAGAGGCCAAGGGUCCAUCAUUCAGGAAGAUCUGGUGUUAAAACUCCUUCCCCACCUUACCAUAAAAGUUUAGAGCUUCAUCAUAAAUAUUUAGAAUCCUGCCAUAAAUGCUUGAAGCCCGCCAAUCAAAACCUGUCCUGUCAACAUUUCCAAGUGCCAGCCUGUUCUCCCUAACCUCUUAAAUUUUGCCCCAAAUCCUGAAUUGGGGAGACAGAUCUGAGGGCACAUUCCCCCUGUCUCCUUGAAGAUUAAUCUCUGAGAAUAAAGCUGAAUUCUUUUCCCAAAUGCUGAUGCCAUGAUUGAUUGGCUUGUUUAUGUGCAUUGGGUAGGAGAACCCCAUUUUUGUGCAAUAACAACACUGUCUACCUGGAGGUAGCAUCAGAUUCCACAAAUUAAAGGUUCAUCUCUGCAAGACCACCCCCACCCCUUCCACUUCAGACACAAUUCGCAAGCCCAGGCUGUUACCUGUACUUCUUACCAAUCAGC